AGCGUACACGGUGGAUGCCCUGGCAGUCAGAGGCGAUGAAGGACGUGCUAAUCUGCGAUAAGCGUCGGUAAGGUGAUAUGAACCGUUAUAACCGGCGAUUUCCGAAUGGGGAAACCCAGUGUGUUUCGACACACUAUCAUUAACUGAAUCCAUAGGUUAAUGAGGCGAACCGGGGGAACUGAAACAUCUAAGUACCCCGAGGAAAAGAAAUCAACCGAGAUUCCCCCAGUAGCGGCGAGCGAACGGGGAGGAGCCCAGAGCCUGAAUCAGUGUGUGUGUUAGUGGAAGCGUCUGGAAAGGCGCGCGAUACAGGGUGACAGCCCCGUACACAAAAAUGCACAUGCUGUGAGCUCGAUGAGUAGGGCGGGACACGUGGUAUCCUGUCUGAAUAUGGGGGGACCAUCCUCCAAGGCUAAAUACUCCUGACUGACCGAUAGUGAACCAGUACCGUGAGGGAAAGGCGAAAAGAACCCCGGCGAGGGGAGUGAAAAAGAACCUGAAACCGUGUACGUACAAGCAGUGGGAGCCUCUUUUAUGGGGUGACUGCGUACCUUUUGUAUAAUGGGUCAGCGACUUAUAUUCUGUAGCAAGGUUAACCGAAUAGGGGAGCCGAAGGGAAACCGAGUCUUAACUGGGCGUUAAGUUGCAGGGUAUAGACCCGAAACCCGGUGAUCUAGCCAUGGGCAGGUUGAAGGUUGGGUAACACUAACUGGAGGACCGAACCGACUAAUGUUGAAAAAUUAGCGGAUGACUUGUGGCUGGGGGUGAAAGGCCAAUCAAACCGGGAGAUAGCUGGUUCUCCCCGAAAGCUAUUUAGGUAGCGCCUCGUGAAUUCAUCUCCGGGGGUAGAGCACUGUUUCGGCAAGGGGGUCAUCCCGACUUACCAACCCGAUGCAAACUGCGAAUACCGGAGAAUGUUAUCACGGGAGACACACGGCGGGUGCUAACGUCCGUCGUGAAGAGGGAAACAACCCAGACCGCCAGCUAAGGUCCCAAAGUCAUGGUUAAGUGGGAAACGAUGUGGGAAGGCCCAGACAGCCAGGAUGUUGGCUUAGAAGCAGCCAUCAUUUAAAGAAAGCGUAAUAGCUCACUGGUCGAGUCGGCCUGCGCGGAAGAUGUAACGGGGCUAAACCAUGCACCGAAGCUGCGGCAGCGACACUGUGUGUUGUUGGGUAGGGGAGCGUUCUGUAAGCCUGUGAAGGUGUACUGUGAGGUAUGCUGGAGGUAUCAGAAGUGCGAAUGCUGACAUAAGUAACGAUAAAGCGGGUGAAAAGCCCGCUCGCCGGAAGACCAAGGGUUCCUGUCCAACGUUAAUCGGGGCAGGGUGAGUCGACCCCUAAGGCGAGGCCGAAAGGCGUAGUCGAUGGGAAACAGGUUAAUAUUCCUGUACUUGGUGUUACUGCGAAGGGGGGACGGAGAAGGCUAUGUUGGCCGGGCGACGGUUGUCCCGGUUUAAGCGUGUAGGCUGGUUUUCCAGGCAAAUCCGGAAAAUCAAGGCUGAGGCGUGAUGACGAGGCACUACGGUGCUGAAGCAACAAAUGCCCUGCUUCCAGGAAAAGCCUCUAAGCAUCAGGUAACAUCAAAUCGUACCCCAAACCGACACAGGUGGUCAGGUAGAGAAUACCAAGGCGCUUGAGAGAACUCGGGUGAAGGAACUAGGCAAAAUGGUGCCGUAACUUCGGGAGAAGGCACGCUGAUAUGUAGGUGAAGUCCCUCGCGGAUGGAGCUGAAAUCAGUCGAAGAUACCAGCUGGCUGCAACUGUUUAUUAAAAACACAGCACUGUGCAAACACGAAAGUGGACGUAUACGGUGUGACGCCUGCCCGGUGCCGGAAGGUUAAUUGAUGGGGUCAGCGCAAGCGAAGCUCUUGAUCGAAGCCCCGGUAAACGGCGGCCGUAACUAUAACGGUCCUAAGGUAGCGAAAUUCCUUGUCGGGUAAGUUCCGACCUGCACGAAUGGCGUAAUGAUGGCCAGGCUGUCUCCACCCGAGACUCAGUGAAAUUGAACUCGCUGUGAAGAUGCAGUGUACCCGCGGCAAGACGGAAAGACCCCGUGAACCUUUACUAUAGCUUGACACUGAACAUUGAGCCUUGAUGUGUAGGAUAGGUGGGAGGCUUAGAAGUGUGGACGCCAGUCUGCAUGGAGCCGACCUUGAAAUACCACCCUUUAAUGUUUGAUGUUCUAACGUUGACCCGUGAUCCGGGUUGCGGACAGUGUCUGGUGGGUAGUUUGACUGGGGCGGUCUCCUCCUAAAGAGUAACGGAGGAGCACGAAGGUUGGCUAAUCCUGGUCGGACAUCAGGAGGUUAGUGCAAUGGCAUAAGCCAGCUUGACUGCGAGCGUGACGGCGCGAGCAGGUGCGAAAGCAGGUCAUAGUGAUCCGGUGGUUCUGAAUGGAAGGGCCAUCGCUCAACGGAUAAAAGGUACUCCGGGGAUAACAGGCUGAUACCGCCCAAGAGUUCAUAUCGACGGCGGUGUUUGGCACCUCGAUGUCGGCUCAUCACAUCCUGGGGCUGAAGUAGGUCCCAAGGGUAUGGCUGUUCGCCAUUUAAAGUGGUACGCGAGCUGGGUUUAGAACGUCGUGAGACAGUUCGGUCCCUAUCUGCCGUGGGCGCUGGAGAACUGAGGGGGGCUGCUCCUAGUACGAGAGGACCGGAGUGGACGCAUCACUGGUGUUCGGGUUGUCAUGCCAAUGGCACUGCCCGGUAGCUAAAUGCGGAAGAGAUAAGUGCUGAAAGCAUCUAAGCACGAAACUUGCCCCGAGAUGAGUUCUCCCUGACUCCUUGA
rnacentral:rRNA from 1 species